UGUGCCAGCCGCCGCGGUAAUUCCAGCUCCAAUAGCGUAUAUUAAAGUUGUUGUGGUUAAAAAGCUCGUAGUUGAACCUUGGGCCUGGCUGGCCGGUCCGCCUCACUGCGUGUACUGGUCCGGCCGGGCCUUUCCCUCUGUGGAACCCUAUGCCCUUCACUGGGUGUAGCGGGGAAACAGGACUUUUACUUUGAAAAAAUUAGAGUGCUCCAGGCAGGCCUUUGCUCGAAUACAUUAGCAUGGAAUAAUAAAAUAGGACGUGUGGUUCUAUUUUGUUGGUUUCUAGGACCGCCGUAAUGAUUAAUAGGGAUAGUCGGGGGCGUCAGUAUUCAGCUGUCAGAGGUGAAAUUCUUGGAUUUGCUGAAGACUAACUACUGCGAAAGCAUUCGCCAAGGAUGUUUUCAUUAAUCAGGGAACGAAAGUUAGGGGAUCGAAGACGAUCAGAUACCGUCGUAGUCUUAACCAUAAACUAUGCCGACUAGGGAUCGGGCGGUGUUUCUAUGAUGACCCGCUCGGCACCUUACGAGAAAUCAAAGUUUUUGGGUUCUGGGGGGAGUAUGGUCGCAAGGCUGAAACUUAAAGAAAUUGACGGAAGGGCACCACAAGGCGUGGAGCCUGCGGCUUAAUUUGACUCAACACGGGGAAACUCACCAGGUCCAGACAAAAUAAGGAUUGACAGAUUGAGAGCUCUUUCUUGAUCUUUUGGGAUGGUGGUGCAUGGCCGCUCUUAGUUGGUGGAGUGAUUGUCUGCUUAAUUGCGAUACGAACGAGACCUCGGCCUUAAAUAGCCCGGUCCGCAUUUGCGGGCUGCUGGCUUCUUAAGGGGACUAUCCGGCUC
rnacentral:rRNA from 1 species